AGACUAGGAAAUAGGGAAAGAGACAACUGGUUGUUGUUGGUGUUCUUAUGUUAGUCAGGGGCAGAGCAAACGGCAGUUUUAUUCAUCCUAGAUUAAUUCCUGGCUUGAUGGCCACGCAUGUCUUAUGCCCAGGACUCAAAG